GCGUCCUUAGCUCAGCUGGAUAGAGCAUCAGGCUUCGAACCUGAGGGUCGCAGGUUCGAAUCCUGCAGGGCGCA
rnacentral:tRNA from 1 species